GGUGCCCGAUUGGUCAGACUUCAGAACCCUAGCCUCCAGUCCCACUCGCGCUCCUCUCCUUCGCUCUUGCAGUCGUCGCCGCGCUCCUGUCCUCCUCUGCUCGCCCUGCUCCCCAUCCUCGGCCCCACACCCGUCUAGGCGUCUCCUCCUCCUCCCCACCCCAUUGGCGGUCGGCAGUAGGAGCGCAGCUCGCUGCCGCCCCCUUGGAAGAGGUCCGGCUGCCUGCCCCACCACCACCCACCAGCAGGAGACCCCCGCCACCCCUCCAUCGCGUUCAUCGGAGGAGCGUCGUCAUCCAUUCACACAGCUGCUCCGCCCGAAGGCGUCACCAUCGACGGGAAGACUCGGUGUCGUCGCCGUCAUGCUCGCGUGCACCCGUCAGGAGGACUGCGGCCCUUCUCUCUCGCUGCUGGCGGGUGACCGGCGCAUCCAGGUCCCAGAGUGGCCCUCUCCGGCUCUCAACUCGGGGAGCCGCUGCUAUGAGCGCCGGAUGCCCUCGAGAUGGUCGGAGUUGUAGCGCCUCCAAUUCCGGCUCCAUCUCCACCCUUACAGAUGGUUUACGUCUUAACUGUCUACAACAAAAGGGAUAAGCAGCACUGCAUCCGGUUCUUUGCAGAUCCAUGUGCACUGUGAAAUUCCAGAUGGUAUCAGUGUGCCCACAGAACUCCAGAGUGUUGAUGAUUACCCAGACAACCAGUUCACAUUCAGUGUCAAGCACUUGGCUCCAAUAUCACUGACAUGCCUUAUGCCUCCAUCAUACCUGAGCCAUCAUCCUCCAUACUUCUUUCUCGGUGUACAGUGGUUGGAUACUGUGAAGGUCUCAACCCUUUGUCACAUGCUUGAAUCGAUUUGGGCCAUCAGUCUGCACAGGAAGUUUUUUUGAGUGGGUGCAGGGCUUUACGCUCUCUCAUCUUGGUUUUGAUGGCGGGAUAAUCAUGCUUGAAGGUCUCAACCCUUUGUCACAUGCUUGAAUCGAUUUGGGCACAUCAGUCUGCACAGGAAGUUGUUUUUGAGUGGGUGCAGGGCUUUACGCUCUCUCAUUUUGGUUUUGAUAGUGGGAUAAUCAUACGCAUGUCUGAUAGUACGACGGCUCCUGUGGAUGCUCGGGUUGUUGGAGAGAUUCUGUCUGUAGAGGAUGUUGUUCAACGGUUGAUCAACUACGAUGAAGAGCAAUGCCUUGAAACAUUAAUUCGGGGCCUCCAUGUCUGCGCAAUUUGUUUCAGUGAGCACCCAGAUAAUUCAGAUGCUCCAUUUGAUUCUUGGAUACUCUCCCUGCUGCUCAUUUCACAACUACAUCUUCAUUGUAACUUAAAUUUGUUGUUUUGAAACAGUAAGGGAGAACACUACUGAUACAGUAUAUAUUGGACACUGAAUUGCUGCUCCAUGGAGCCAGGGCACCAUCAUUUAUGCACAAAUCAAACAUAAUUUUGGUACUGUUUUUUGAGAUUUUA